rnacentral:lncRNA from 1 species
UUUUUUUUUAGUAGAAGUCCUAUUUGCAAAACUACUAGUGAGCUUAACAUAACAGAUACACACUUUUGCAUUAGCACAUCGACCGGAUGGGGUUUUCGCAGGUAUCAAUCUGAUGGCACAUACCUUUGGGGACUGGGAAGACUUGAGUGGCCCGAACAGCAUGGGGUUUUUACUGCCAACAGCCACCAAAUCAGAAGAACGAACUGAAUCAGGAAUAAACUCAAUCGAAACGCAGAUUCCUCGAGCAUCAGAGCAUACUCACUCAUAGAUGGUCUUCUUAAACGUCCUGAACCCAGCCCUCAACCUCUCCGCGGAGCCCAACCCCUGCAGAGCACGCAGCAGCAGCCGUCAGCCGUCGCGCCACAAGGGGAAAGGGAAACAGCACAAUGCCGGCGCGCGACAAGAGAAUCGCAUCGCUCGGGGACUGGCCUCGCUGUAGGUGACCAUCUGGGCCGGGUGGUGGUGGCCGGCAGCGCUCGAUCCGCCCCCGAUGAGCGGCUCGCGGGCCGGGCUCAACGGGUUCUCCCGAGGCGGCUUGUGGGCGAGGAAGCAGCAGCAGCAUCCCCCCAUCGCCGAUCGCCCCCGCGAGCCGCUCGAGGAGGGAGAGAUCGGUGGAGAGGUGGGCGCCCGUAGCUCGUUGCCUCGGUCCUGACUCCUGAUUUUGCCCGCGGGCCGCAGGGGAAGGGGAAGAGGGUUUUGCAGUUUCGCUCGGGAUGAAACCGAACUUCGGCAGGCUUGGACUCUCGGGUGUUAUCCUGCUCGCCUCAAUUUGGAAAUCAUUAGCCCGAGAGGAUUGAUUUAGGUUCCGUUGGAUUUGAACUGCGAAAGCACAGAAUGGUGAAAGAGAUUCAGAGUUCAGCUCAGGAUCAUCGCGUGGGCCCCGCCGCUGCUUUAAAUCGGGGCAACGAGACGGCCAGAUUUUAGGUUGGCCGUUGUCUCGUGGCUCGUGGUUGGCUCGGGUUCACCGGUUCACCACCAUGUGAGGAGCUAAUGACAGUUGAGAAGGAUUUCCUUUAAAGUUCAAAACCGAUAAAGUAAAAAAAUUAAAUUCAUCCUAUUUCUAGUUUAUUUUAAUCUAACUUUACAAAACGAUUUCACACUUAGUAUCUCGAUUUGCGCAAAACAGAUGAAGUCGAAACUAAAAUAAACCUCCAAAAGAUAUCUUCCCUUUUCCAUUAUUAUUUCUCAGGUUUGGAUAGACCCUGUAAACUAUAAUCAAUACUCUUUCCGCUUCAAAUUAUAGAUCGUUUUGGUUUUUCUAGAUAUAUAAUUUUCCUUAUGUAUCUGAACAUAGCAUAUAUCUAGAUGCACAUAAAUAUCAAAUAUCAUAUAUCUAGAAAAGUCAAAACAAUCUAUCACUUUUUAGAGUUGCUCUAAGUCAAACUAUUUUAAAUUUAAUCAAUUUUAUAUAGAAAACAACUUGAUGAUAAUCUAUGAACCAAAUAAUACACUACGAAAUAUAUAUUUAAGGGGCAUUUUGUAAUAGACUAAUAAUACUAAUUUGGUGUUAUAAAUAGUAGUGCUCUUUUGCGUAAGUUUGAUCAGGCUUGAAAUAGUUUGACUUAAGAGAACUCUAUAAAUUGAUUUAUUCUUUAUGGAGGGAGUACUUCUUUUCAACUAUAAAUAAGAGGAGAAAACCAGGCAAUGCUGCAGCUCAUCACUGGCCAAGCCAACAAGUGCAGAGUGUGCCCUAACCUGCGUGUUGACUUUCUAGCGGGACUUAAAACCAUCUUCUUCGUUGGCAGAAAGCCUUUCAUUCAGCAACACACAUUUACACAGUCACAGGUUUGCAGGGAUAAUAUACACAAGAAUGCUAGGUAGUUGGCCUUAAUCAAUUUUUUUUCAUAAUAAUAACUUGUAGGAAUAGUUGACAACUCAGGGGGCAAACAGGCUUUGCCUUUCACUUUCGUUUUUAACUUUUUUCCAGAUUUUCUAUAUAUGUUUGAUGUUGUUUAAUUUUCAGUGUUCUUCAAACGAAUAAACCAACAGUAAGAUACUUCUAUAGGGCAAAUGACAUUCAAUACAGCAGGAUUGCAAUGUGGGCAGCUAGCACAUCCAGAGGAAACAGGCGACAUAACUACUACUAAGCCCAAGAACACGUCAUGACAGAAAAAAAACCCAAUUAUGCUCUUAACUUCAUGCGGCCCACUUUCAAUGUUUUGUCUUAAUUAUGAAAAAAUAACACGCCAUGACACGUCUUUUCCUUCAGAGGACGAGUUAUAUACGCCAUGACACAUCAUGGAGAGCAGCAAAAGGUAGCAUAAGAAGGUAAACUCUUUCUCUCUUCAUGAUAAUAUGAAUGAAAAGAUCAUUACAGCUGAUGUGUUUUGACCACACGUCGAUCAAACUAUGCAUCAUACAUACAUUAAAAAAGAAGAAGAAAGAACUCCGCGACAGAAAAUUGUAUUGCUUAUUACAGUUCACAAAGAGCAAUCCGGUAUGUGUGUAUAGGGGCAAAUUAGUAGUACUGCUCCACGCAGUCAGAUGUAUCGAUCGGGAGCAUAUAUGUUGUAGCCGUACAUGAUUAACAGCUAGCCUGGUUGGCCGCUCAUGGAUCCCAUGUCUCGAACUUGCCGGAGACGAAGUCGUAGUGGCCGCCGACCAGCUUGAGUGUCCCCUUCUCCAGCCCUUCCUUGACGAACGGGUAGGUCUUGAGGUUCUCGAGGGACACGUUCACGGCCUCCUGCAAGGUAAAGUGUUCAGAGGUCCAACAACAGCCACGCACUCCAUGAGCAAAUCGUUUUCCCGUUGGAGCUCGUCUCCAAGAUGAUGAUCCAGACAGAGGUCUUUUAAUUUCAGAGCAUACCUUUUCCAAGGCGGAGCAUUGGUCUUCGAAGGGGGCCGAGGCGUGGUCGGCCUGCACCUUCGUCUUCGCGGGGCCGCCGAUCCUGACCCAUUCCUCGACGAAGUGGCUGGACAGGGGAUCAAACAGUAAGUAGUGAUGCAAGAUACAGCAAACCAGUUUCAAGUUCUCAACACCGUCGUCAGUUGUCUGAGUCUUCCACACGGAUGCUUACAACUUGUCGGGCUCGCCGUCCUUGAGCGAGAGGAGCGCCUUGAUCCCGCCGCAGCGGCUGUGGCCGAUGACCACGAUGACCUCCACCUUGAGGGCGCAGACGGCGUACUCGAUAGCGGACCCGACGCCGGCGUACCGGGUCUGCAAGCAGAACGUGCGUGAGCGGUCGAGCCGACGACGAUGCCUGCCAGCGGCGGCGACAUGCUGCGAGAACUACCAGGCGCGCGUACCUUGUCGUAGGGUGGGACCAUGCUGGCGAUGUUGCGGACGGAGAAGGCCUCGCCGGGCUGCAGGCCCAGGGUCACCGACGGGCACACGCGGGAGUCGGAGCAGGCGAACACCAGGUACUGCACACAACCAUGAAUGGCAGCGAACAGUCAGCAGCCGGGUUACCGAUCCUCUGACCCUGACGGCCAUUGCUCUCCCUAGCUGGCUAGUAGCUCCUACUUCCUAUCAAGGGUUAAGCCCAAGACGGGGGAUAGGAACAGUAACAUGAGGCUCCUUUCAGAAAUAAAAAGUAACAUGAGGCCGGCCUACUUUAUUUGCGAGUGACGACAAGGUGGACCGUGGCUAGAAAAAUGUAUGGAAUCUUUAGUUCGAGGCUUCGGGCAACUAGCAGGAUUCGACAUUUCCGACUACAUAUACUUUAGAGUCCCCAUCAAACUCUGUUUUUUGAAGAGUCCCAUCGAACUCUGUUUCUUUGAAGAGUCCCAUCAAACUAUGUUGUUAUUUUACAUAAAGAUUGGGAUUAGUUUAGGCCAAAAUUUUCAUACUUUGACCCUUAAUCUUCCUUAAAAAAACUAUAUAAAUCAACUAUGUAAAACUGAUGUUACUAAGUCCACCAUGAAAAAUAUUUCAAUAAAUGUAACUCUUCAAAUAAUAUAUCUCCAUGGAUAUAGCUUGCCAAAGUAAGGUAAUGAAAGAUCGUGUGUCAAAACCAGGCGAGCCACAGAUAUGCAGAUUUCUAAUAAAGAGUUACGUGUGGACCAUAUCAUAUUUAAUUUCUUUCUAAUAUCUUUUUUUUCUGGAUGAUGGUCUAUCUUCUAAUAUCUAUAGAUGAUGUAUAUCUGCCGUUCUUAGCUUCUUGUAGCUGCUGAUAGCCAUUUCUGAACAUCUUUUUUAUUCUGGCGCACGUAUUACUCAUUUGGUCAACUUCUACCGCUUCUUUUUUUUCCCUCAUUUGGUCAACUUUGACCUCGAUCAAAUGCUGCGUGCACACAUUCGCAGGCGGCGUUGGACGCGGAUAGGGGGGGCCGCUAGAUCAACGGCAGGGUUGGUGGCAAAUGGGGACCCGUGAUUCCCGAUGUGCUAUCUAGUACGGGAAAACGGUUGUGUUGCCGGCCGGAUCCCCUCAGGAUAUUCCGAAUUUACUAUGAACGCAGAAACUGGCCGCUACGAGCUUCGAAAAUUUUGGUGGUGAACAAGAAUGCAAGAUAUAUUUCUUUACUCCAUUCUACAGUGCAUACCUUGGGGGACUGGUGGGCCUUGAGCGGCUCGAACGUCUCCGGCUUCUUGCUGCCGAUCGACAGGGAGACGGGUCGUCAAAGAGUCAAUUCACUUCACAUCGAGCAGGAGGCUUGGGAGAAUAGAGAGUAGCUUGGAUCACUUACUCGUAGACAUCGGCCUUGAACUGCUCGAACCCGGUCUUCAAGCGCUCGACGGCGUCCGCCAUGGCCUCCUGCAAGAGCCACAGAUCAUGUCGUCAACACAGCUGUGCCGUCCGUCCACAACAAGAUCACCAGAUGCGUCAUGCAGAUUUCUCGGGGUGGGGGGGGGGGGGGGAGUCAUGCGAAUUGCGAGCGACGAGUCUAGAAAGGGAAAGAAGAUGGGUUGAAGCAUGGAGGAUGGAGGAGGAGGGGGCUGACCUUUGGGCUGCAGAGGAGAGCAGGUGGUGAACUGUGGAAGGAUUGACGAAGACUGUGGAAGGCUUUGCUUCGCUGUAGAGCUGCCCCGUCCAUGCCUCCCCGGGGGACCUUUUUUAUAGGAGGGGGGAGGCACGGGAAGCAGCGGCUCGCCUUCUUUUCCUGCCCCCCCGGUCGUGCAGCUGGACGGAUGGACGCGGGGAACGGCGAACCGGUCCAGCACGAGACGUGUCAUCGUGCGGGACGGGGUACACCACUAACCCACCGAGCUUCCAAAGGUCCAUCCUGCAGGCCGCCUUCGCCUUGACCUCCGGCUGGCCGCGGCCGGGCAGGCGUGGCGCCGGGCUUGGGGUGCCGUCCUUCCCCGGGGAAACGAGGAGGACGAUGGAGAGGCUGGAGCCGGAUGGGCUGAACGCCGCGGUGGACACGGCUCACGACGCGUGGCGCCCUGCCGGUUUAGCGGAGCCGGAGAAAACGAGGGGGCGCGGUGUGAAGACCCAAGAGGUAAAUACUUAAUUUUAUUUAUUAACUAAUCCACUAAUUAGUAAUUUUGAAGAACAUAAGUAUUAAAAAUCCAUGAGAGAAAUUGGAUCUCGUAACUGAUCAUCAAAUUACCUCACCCCCUUCUCAUUUCUCAAAUAUUCUAGCACAUAUAUAUAGAUAUAUAUUUAUCUUUAUCCAUUAUAGAAUUUAGUUAGAAAUUAAUCUAUGCACUCUUCAUCGUCGUUGAUAGUUUUCUUUUUGCAUGGCAUCUGCAUCUGGGUUUGACAUUUUUCUAACUAAAUUCUUAGUUUGGGCUAUGUGUUUAACAUGGAAAUUGGUGCUAUCAUAGCUUCCUGCAUAUACAGGGGUGGAUCCGACCCACUUGGUGCUGUUACUUGAUAGCAAUGGAUUUUUAAAAUCCAAGGCUAAAGUUAUCUUGAUAUUAGAGAAAAUCAUAUCGUAAAUUUGACACUAGUGACAUCAAUGGUUCUCUAUUCUAGAUUACCGCCUAUGUAGAUAUGUAUACAUGGUCUAAACCGUAAGUUAGUAUCUUUAUAACAGAAAUAAAUAAUUUAGAAUUUUUUAUUGGUGUGCACUGGGAUACUUUUUUAUAAUGAUAGAUGCAGUUAAUCAAGAAGCCAAUUUAGGGAUUAUUUUCAAUUGUUUUUAGUAAUAGCACAUAUGGAUAAUUUAUAUAUAUAGAUUUAGGAUGUUACUUUAUUAGAUGAUUUUUAUACUAAAAUGGCAGCGACGGGCUACUUUUUAUGCAUGUCCAUGAAGCAUACAACCAAGAAAAUGUUGUAAUGAAACUGAGAUCUUAGUAAACCUUGUGCUUUUCACGAGCAUACAACCUUGCAAUUUCUCAUAUUAAUACUAAGGUACAUAUCUGUCUGGUGUAUACGAGAGGGGGGAAAAAAAGAAUGUGCAACCAAAGCAGAGACAAAAAGAACAUGAGCAACCAUUUAGAGAUCUACUGGAAGGAACAGAGAGCAAGCAACCAAACUUUACUUCUGGUUUAAAGCGUGUGAUCAAUGUGGAUUAUUACUGUUGAUUUUUCUAGCUUAUUAGCAUGCACUGUAGCACGCAAAAGCACAUAGGCAUAAAGACCCCCCCCCCCCUCUGUUGAGUGCAAGAUUUUCAGAAAGUUUAGGGGUCAACUUUCUUAAUCUUUUUUUGUGAAGACAGCUUUGUAGUACAAAAUCAUUCAUGUCUCACAUAAAAAUGGUAGCACCAGCAUUUCAGGGAGAGAGAGAGAGAGAGAAGGGGCAUCAAGAUGUAGUAGAAAGGUAAAGUAUGCAUGAUAGUAUUAUGAAAAAGGCUUAUACAGCUGAUGUCUCUUGACCACAAAAGCGGUCUAAUUACGCACCAUAUAUAUUACAUAUAAGCUCCACCUUAGAAAUUAAAGCAGUAGAAGCUGCUAUUGCUUAUUACAUUCACAGAUAGGACGAUCCGGUUUGUAGCUGUCGAAAUAGGAGGUAAGUCCUCCACGCGUUGACAUCGACCGGGUGCAUAUACGUCGGUAUGUAUGUAUCUGAUGUAGUAGGAGUUUGCGGCCUAUUUCUCCCAUGUGUCGAAGAUUCCGUUCACGAAGUCGUAGCGGGCACCGACCAGCUUGAGGGUCCCGUUGGCCACGCCUUCCUUGACCCAGGGGUAGGUCAAGAGGUUCAAAAGGGACACGUUCACGGCCUCCUGCAGAAACAUUCAGAAAUGCAGGAUCCUCUCAUGAGCAAACCAAUUCGAUCUUUAUGAAAUCACGCGCGUAUGGGCAGCGGGUAACCAAAGAUCGCCAUGGCAACCAGGUCGUAGCCCGUGCGUACCUUCUCCAAGAUGGAGCACUGGUCAUCAAACGGAACCGUGGGGUGCUGGCUCAGCACCUUCUUCUUGGCCAGGAAGCCGAUCCUGACCCAGUCCUCGACGAAGUGGCUGGGCGCGUCGCCAAACAAACAAAGAACAUCCUCGAGUCAGAGACAUGAUGCUGCAGGGGUAGCAGGCUCCUCCCAUCUAAAACUUUGUUCCACCGUGACUUACAAGGUGUCGGGUGCGCCGUCCUGGAGGGAGAGGAGCGCCUUGAUGCCACCACAGCGGCUGUGGCCAAUCACGGUGAGGACCUCCACCUUGAGGGCGCAGACGGCGUACUCGAUGGCGGACCCAAUACCGGUGUACUUGUUCUGCAGUUCACGAAGCAAAAGCAACCGAGUCAGCGGUCAACACCCCACCAGCAAAGAAAGAUCACCGGCCAUGCGCCAGGCCAGCCGGUACGCGUACCUUGUCAUAGGGCGGGACCAUCGCGGCGAUGUUGCGGACGGUGAAGGCCUCGCCGGGCUGCAGGCCCAGGGUCACCGACGGGCAGCAGCGGGAGUCGGAGCAGGCGAACACCAUGUACUGCAGCACAUAGCAUGAGCGAAAAAAGGGGGAAAUCAGAAUCAUCAACAAAAAUGGGGAAAAAUCUGUGUCAGGUCAGCGAUAAGAGCACGCGAGCAUUUCGCGCCCCCACCACACGGCUCUUAUCGAUAAGCAGGUAGGCAGAUCGGCGCUGAUCGGUGGAGUGCAGGAUUCGGGUGGCCCUUGUGGAUGUGCGUGCAAGCGAGUACCCCCGCCGCUCGAAAAAGGCUGCCACUUUUGACCCGCCUCUGCCCGUCUCUGUUCCGAUCCACUUUCUACCACCGGAGCCGCCGCUCCGUUGGCGAGGAAGCCAAGCUGCAGGAAGGUUCCCCGCUGGGAGCGGCAAGGAUACUCUGCGCGGGCUUUGCUGUGGCCCCAUGGGUGGCGACCAACGGGCAACAAACACUAGCGUUGCCAUUACCGGCAGGCAAGGACGUAAUAUUUCUGGACGCAAAGGCGAGACCCGUAUGCACGAACCCAGAAGGAUUCUGAGGGAAAAGCCGAGAGCCAAACUGCCAAAUCCGGCAUCCGCACUGCCGAUUAAGCUUGGUGACAAGAGCAGCAGGAGGAGGCUAGCUAAUGGGCUACUAUAGUGCGCGAGGAUCAUGGAUCACUUUGUUCCCAUUACGACAGCAAUCGGCAUGGACGGCCGGCCGGACACCAGGGUAUGUAGGAAAGGGAACCUUGUUCCGGCUUGCAUAAGCUCACGCUGGAGGCCAGGACUUGGAAAAGGGGCUCGAGGCUAAAAGGCGAUUACGACGCGUAGCGUGAUGCAAUCACCUUCAGCGACGGCAUACACUACGUUGAUAGUAUGAGCAUAUCUCCAGGAUCAGCAUGCAUGGCCAGGGAGAUAAGGAUGCGAGUAGACAAUGUUCUGAACGCUAAAGCAACAGGCCCCGUCCAACACUUAUGUGGCUAACUUUUGCACGGGCCUGGCUGGGAGGAGAGGACAGAGGACACGUCCAAACCAACUACCACCCCUAGCUAGCUACGCUGAUUGUGCCGGUGAAGGAAGAAUUCCGUGAGGGACCAUUGUUCAACAGGACCGGUUGAUGCAUGGUAGGGCCUUGUGCCCAGUCAUGGCUGGACCACACGUCCAGCCGUGGAAUGAUGGCAUGCUGGUUGGUGAUACACGCCUCGCUACCCCUUUUGGUGUAUAUGGUAUGUAUGUGCAGCGUUCAAAUGUAAUGAUGAUGGACCGGACCAUGGAGAGAUGCAGGAAAUUCUUUGGGAUUCAACACGGCUUAGGUGGUGGUAACUCUUUGUUUUCCACGGACCGAUUAAGCAGCCAAGCUAGACCACCCUUUUCUUUUCAAGGAAAAUCAGCAGACUACUUGCUUGUGCCUGGAACCAGCCAACUACAGCACGCUGCAUGGAGUGAAUCGGCGCAUGGGAUCGAUGCCAGCCUGGAACCCCCCAGAAAGAAAACAAUAAAACUCUGUACUUGCGAGAUUCUGCCACCAGGUAAAUACCUAGGAACGGGAAGGAAGUAGGAUUAUAUAUCUCUAUACACACACACACACACACACACACACACAAUAUCCACCACCCCAGCUAGCCAGAAAAGUGAGCGUAUAUAGGGACGGCGACAUCUCAACAGUUCACACGCAGGCCAAAACGCCCCAACCGCCAACAUGGCUCGCACAUGGGAAUGCACUCGCGCCGCGCAUGUUCGUGGCCGGGGGGAGCUCGUAUCCACUAGCGAUUUCUCUGCACAGUUUCGGCUUCAGAUUUCCCCAGCUGACUGAUCACGGGCCAACUGGCCGCUAAUGGCGACAAGCUGUCCCCAUCAGUCUUAAGCCACGCAAUCAAGGACAAGCUGCGUGCUCCCCUUUGUCUACCACGACCUCUUUGACCUCGGCCCCGGCGCAAAUGCCUGCACCCAGGGAUGCCAAAUGAAACAGUAACGGAAUGGCAGGGGCAGCACAGCAGCAGGUGCCAACGGGAAUGCAGGGAUCCUGGUGAUGAACACGACGAGCUAGCUGGUACCAGCAGCGACACUGUUCUGGCUUGGCUUCUACUACCUGGACGGAUGGGGAACCGCCGGCAAGUACCACCAAAUCUGUGGACCAGCAACGUCAGGCGUUGCCCGGACCCCCACGGAAACCCCGAGCUCCUGAACGCGGUUUGCCUAAAUUAAGCUUCCCAGCAUUUGUGCCGAGGAGCCGGGCGGGCGGACGGCCGGAGUGGAUGCAGACAAAAAUCUUAGCAGUCUAGUACAAGGGUGAUGGGACGGGAUUGGAUAGGAGGAGAACAUACCUUGGGGGCCUGGCCGGCCUUGAGCGGCUCGAACAGCUCCGGCUUCUUGCUGCAGAGAGGGAAUUCACACGGGCACAGGGUUAGUUGGAGCUCCCGAGAAAAAAAAAAUCCCCAAAGAAAUCAAGCGCCAUGGAAGCUGGAAUCGAGCGCCGGCGGGUGCUGCAUCGAGUGGAGCGGACGACUUACUCAUAGACCUCGGUCUUGAACUUCUCGAACCCGCUCUUCAAGCGCUCGACGGGGUCCAUGCCCUGCAACAGCGAGAAAGACCAACCACAAACCGUCAGCUCGCCGUCCCCAGAAAGGACCAAAUUGUGUGCUCUUGAUGCAGCAUGAGAGACAGAGUGGGCAGGGGACAAGAGCUUGCCGCAAGAAAGCAUGCACAAAGGUGAUCUGAAGGGGAUGCAGGGAUCUGCUUUGCUACUGAGCGAUGGGGGCAGGGGACGAAAGGAAGACGGACGGACGGACGGACGGGUGGACGGAGAUUACUGUGGGAGGAAGAAGGAAGGAGGGAGGGAGGGAGGGAGGGAGGGGGGGAACGGACCUUGGAGGGAGGAUGUGGAGAGUGGGUGGGCUUCUUGUUCUGGAGGACCGCGGAGGAGACGGCCUCCUUCUUUUUAUAGCAGGGGAGGCAAAGGCACCCGCUCAUCUUCGAACGCGCGGCUUGGAUGCUACUAGAGUAGGAGUACUUCGCUUCUCUCUCGUCUGACUUUUGAGCUUCUCGUUCGGCGGUUUACUAGCAACAUGACACGUGGAAUAAUGGCGUGAGAGAGAGAAGGAGAAAAUCAAUACACGUAGUAGUAAUGGGUGAGUGCGGUUUCUGUGGACGGGAUAACACCCCAGUAGUUGCUAAAAUUUUCGUCAUCCAUUUUUCAGGCACCCGUGAGAUGUAGUAUUGGCCGAGAACGUGUGCGGUUAGCUCUGCUAUUUUGAGUUCAGCCGGUUAAACCCGGUGCUCUUUUUAUUUGAAUGGUAAACCAGGUGCUCUUGAAGGAGAAGAAAAAAAGAAGUCCAUUGGUACACGGAAAAGUUCAGACAGCCCGAAGCGUAGCUCAGAAGAUGAGGCCAGAAGUAAACGGGUCGGCGUAAGCUGCUGAGGCGAAGGCUGGAAGGACCAACUUACCGUGACCAUGACACUAUUACUGACGAUGCGCGAGGCACCGCCGGGUACGGACAGCGAGAGCACAAGUGGCCGGCCCGGCCAUCUGCCGCCGGCCAGGUUGCUUGCGCCUUUCCUUUUUGCUGCUCCCUGCCUCCCGAGUCCCCACCCCCCCGAUCGAGAAACGUUUCCCCAGGGGGUUAUUCCCAGAUCCAAGGAAUCUCGAUGCCCACUCGUCCAGAUCUGGUCUGCCCACAGGGCUGCUGUUCUCUACUUCCCCAAUCCCCAUGGGUUCUAAACUUCUACCAGAGGUCGUCCUUCUAGCUCGUGGCAAUGGGAACCCACCGCCGGACGACGGGGGCGGCCACCAAUGGCACGGCCGGCCUCGCGAUCCAACCUUCCUUAUCGGCGCGCCUAAACUACUCCCUUCGCAACCGCCGGGGCCACAGACCCGGCCAGCGCCUCACCUCCUAAAUUAUUGGAGGCUCCUGCGGUCGAGCUCAGCUCAUCGAGAGCUUGUCCCCCUGAUGCCCCCUCCUAACCAUCCAACCCAAGCGACCUCUCCUCUUAUUGGGGGCUCCUUUUACUGUUUGUACUUCCCGCAAAUCUAGUGCGUAUCUAAUGGCAGCUACAGGUUUCUGCACCGCACCACCGGCCAGAGCCAGAGAGUCAUGGUGCGUGCGAUCGAUGUCAACGCUGUCCGCAUCGCAUCGCAUCGCAUCAGCGUGGUGACGUGGUAGCAACGAAAAUCUAGCUAGACUCCUCGUACUGCUAGCCAGCGCUGACAAGUCUGGCUACCAGUUCACCACAGAGCGAGAACCACAACUUUUUUCCCCUGGUUCCAUAUGUACUUAUUAAAGUUGUUUUUUUUUGGAAGUUGCAAGUAGCUAGUAAUCUCGUGCUAGUUCGUUCGUUGCUCUGGCCAAAAAAAAAAAAAACUCAACGGUGAGCAAAAGCAAAAGGCGGGAAUUCAUCGGCGUUAAAGGGAAAAGGCUGACGUUGAUGGGGGCUUAACCGACUGAUGGUCGGUUAUUGGAUUACUGGAUGCGUUAUGGACCAAACGGAACUGAAAAGCCAGGAGACGGAUGCGGGGCUAGCUAGCUCUUGACACCUUCUAAUCUGUGCGGUAGCUAUCAUGCAAGGAGAGUCCAUGGCGACCCUACUCCACCUUAUCGCUUGUUUUAUAAUUAGGUGGAAAAAGGCCGAGCCACGCUCGACGUCGCUAAGCAAGUGUACUUGGAACUUUUGGGGAAUUCUAAUCUAUCCUAUCGAUCGAAAGCAUCUGCUAGUUGCUGCCUUUAAACUGGCACUAUCAUUGGCCACCUCUUUGGAAGCCCCUCCCUCCACGAAUAUUCUAUGGCAGGUGGUUGACAUGCAUGUUGCUAGUACUAAUAACAGAUGGAAGAAUGGUUAUUAAAUUACUAGUAGUAUAUACUAUGCAAUGAUUGGUCAUGGUCCAAAAGAAGUGGAGAAGAAGAUGAGGCUAUGGUCUGCCGCAUUUGCGGACUCGGCCUUGGCAUUAGCUCUUGGAGCAGAUUAAGGAACAGUGCGGCGCCUCCAUGUUCUCAGGGGACGCGUAGUUUUUUUUUAAAAAAAAAAUCUAAUGCAUUUGUGGCAAGGUGGUGCAUCAUUAGUUGACCCGACCGUGUUGCGUUGUACCCUUGCGUGGCACUUGGAUUUUGUUUCUUUUUCAGAAACCCCUGGUCAGUACCAGCAGCUACCUCCUAGAUUAUGGGAAGGAAGUUUUUUCUUUUUCUUUUUUUUUUGCUUUUGCGGUGGUGCAUUCCGUUCGUCUUGCCGGAGCCGGAAAUAGCAAGGGCAAGCACAUGUGCCAACUUGUUAGUUACCGAAAAGAGAUGCAUGGAAGCAGUGUGGGUAUCGACAUGCAUGCAUGCAGAGGUAAUAGUACACAAUGUGCUCGGUGCGGUGUGCCAUGCAUGCGUGCGUGCGCACGUACCACGAUGGCGGAGGGGGCGGCGAAGACGGGCGCGCUCAUGAUGAGCCUGGGGCGGGCGGAGGCGGGGAUGCCGGACUUGGACGGCGCGGGGGUGCCGAGGCCGGCGACGAUGCUCGAUGCGGCGGUGGAGGCGCGCACGGCCAAGGUAAGCAUAUGUGGGGGUGCUCCCUUGGUUGGUGCCGCCUCCCUGCGCGCGCCCCCAAGAAAUAGCUGCGCCGCGACCGCGUGCCGACAACAAACCGCCGGACGCGAGCGGCGCCGGCGUGCGGCCCGGCUGGGCCGGUGGAUCCGGGCCACUCGGCGCCUCAUCCGCCAGCAGCGCGCCACCCGGCCUCCCCACCACCCCCUGCCGGGGAUGGAGGGAUAGGACUCGGGUCGGGAUAACGCGCCGCGGCACCGUGUGGCGGACGGGCGCGCGCCCCCGGAUGGCUUGGCACGCCCGCGCCCUGGGCCACACGAGCGCGGCCGGGGGGACGGACGCGAAAACGAAGGGCCCUUCGUUCCGAUGCGCGGCGUCGAGAAACGCCAGCUGCUGCGCGGUCGUGGUGGAUGGGGAUGUGAUUGGAUGCUGCUGCGAGCGGCGAUGGGGGGCGUUGGGCCGGUGUGGGCUGCUGCUGGCGGGGCGCCACGCGUGUGACGGGGGUUCUCUUGGCGCCGGUGACAUAUCCAUCGGAAUUAUGGUGUGGCUGCCCUUCAUUAAUCACCGGGCCGAAAUGGAUGGUUCGGUGGUUAUUAGGUGAUGUCAGGUCAGGGGACUGAGCGCGUGAUCUUGGUUGGAGUGGCAGGCAGCACGUGAUGGGGGUUGAGACACGUCGGCGAAACGUUAGUUGUCUGGUGGAGAACUCAUAAGUUUUUCUUUUAAAAGAAAAGAAGAAGAAGAAGAACAACAACAACAUGUGCACAUCAUUGCUCACCGAGCGAUACUAGCUCUUGGCUUCAGAGACUUGUGUUGAGCUCAGGGCCUGCUGGAGGAUAAUAGUGGCAUAGCUUUCGGCCCAUCGAGCUGGUUGUGCGCGGCAUGAAGCCUGCCACGGCCCAUCCUUGUUCAGUUUGUUUUCCGGCAGCCUGGCCCGAGCUGGAUUUGGGCCCAGGCUCCCAUGCGCCCUGCUGUUCCUGUACAGCAGCAAGAAGGAAAGCAUAUGCCUCCUGGUUAGAUAACUUCGCAGAAUUGCAUGCCUCCUGGUUAGAGAGAGAUCAGCAGCAGUAGGAAAAUGACUGACUUCGGGUUGUCUAAGAGUCACUAAGAAUGUUCAGGAAAUGAUCGGAUGUUCUUAUACUGUGAUUGUGUGCUCGGUAGGCGUGCUUGGACUCUUGGACCUGGCCGUCAUGUUUGGCUUGGUUCUCCUCCGGUAUUCUUGGAUGUAAGCGUUUUCCAACCUUCCGCUCGAGAAAACAGUGGCAAAUUACCUGCCUUUAGAGUUGAGAAGUCUCUUCCUCUGAACAACAUCUGUGGGAGUUUCAAGUCCAGUUCAACUUUGUGGAAAUUUGAACCGGUGAUCUUCGCGUCUGCAUCCAUAGUCCGCAUUCAAUGAUCAGGGCUGCAGCAAGACGGGGUGCAGACGCAUAUGCUGCUGCGCGCUGCGAAAUUUUUUACAGGAAUGCAUACAACAGUGCCACUCUCUUGCUACAGCUACGACUACUGGAGAGAGAGAGAGAGAGAGAGAGAGAGAGAGAGAGAGAGAGAGAGAGAGAGAGAGAGAGAGAGAAGUGAACAGCAUACUAGAAUGAAUCGAAGAGUUGUAAAUUUACCUUUCUCCAUGGCCGCCGUAUCCUCUAUUCCCCCGUCAAAUUCUUGGACUCCGGCCGAGCCAAGCUUCGCGGAUGCGUGGCUAGCUGCUCCAUGCACACGCGGUCGAUCCGAUUACGGUGGCCGCGUGCAGCUAGCCACGAGCCAUGCCGAUGCCGAGUUGAGCACGGAUCGAGCUGAAGCUCCAUCCUGCACCGAGAGCUAGCGCACGGGCCAUUACUUAUGCUGCCUCUGCUGGCGCACGGAGGCGAACCGGCGGCGUGCAAGUACGUGGAAGGGUUGACACUACUAGCUUGGGCCGGCCUGUUCGCAAGCUAAAAGGAUGUGCUCACUUUGGCGACACAAUAGACACCCGGUAGCUUGGUGUGCAGGUCCAGACAGCGCAGGACGAGGACAACAAGACCCGGGAAAAGGGAAACGCUACAAAAUUGGUGUUGUCAUGCGCCUGUAGCUAGCGGUCGAGCAGCAUCAGCUUUGAGUUGGCGCCCAGAUAUCGAAUUAUGAUCUGCUCGUUUCGAAUUCCACUUGUCCAUUUCUUCAUGUACACACGCGCUGUAAAGAUGCCUCGCGGUAUCGUGUUGAUUGAACAGCGUGUCUGCUCGCUAGCAUAAUAGUGUAGGGCUCAAUACUAGUCAUUGGGCCCGUGAUAGACCACCUUGCAGACGUUUCCUUUUGUUCGGGAAAGGAUUCCCGCCUGCUCACUCCACCUUCGCGAAGGGGUUUCUUGUGUCCAUACUCCGGUGAAAAGAUUCCAAGCGCACCGGCGGUCUGACGAUGGAUUGGGACAGGCUUAGCGAGUACAGAAAAAUCGAAUUGUGAAAUUAGUGAAGGGUCCUUAAACGCUUCGGAAGAUAAAUGUCUUCGCUCAUCUCUCAUCUCAUAAAACUCUCGUUCCUCUCCCCUCGUAAUCACCCUGCUAUGUCAAUAAAUUUGGUGAUGUGGCAUAAGAUUUAUUGCCCACAAAACUUCACUGGUCUAGCUGGGACCAAGGUAAGCUGUGGUAGGUCUGAGCGGAAGCGAAGGCUGGCCAGAGCUUCCAUAAAAACUGGGCGAUUUUGGCAAAAAAAAUCAUGGUUUAAUUAACCAGAUUAUAUGCCAUGUUCGGUUGGGUACUAGUCUUUUAUUUCAAACAGACGGAAGAGGAAUCUGGUUCUGUUUAUCCGGCUUGUCCAAAUAACAUAACUAUGCUGGUGAUUUCCCUUUCUUGAAUCUUUUUAUUCUCCUCCCCUUUCCAUUUUUAGAAAGUAUUAAGUAAAAAUUUAUUCACACGGAUUUAGUGGAUAAAUUAUCAUGAUAACUUUUGGAUGAAUAGUUUAGCAGUGUUUCUCAAAAAGAAACUUAUCUGGGAUAACUUUUCAUGUAGAUUUCUUCAAAGCAAAGCUCCGUGGAAAGCUUGCUCAUGCACGUUUGUCAAAAAAAAAUCUUCAGACAAGUUUGCCGAAAAAAAAGCUUCCCUGGAUAAGUUUUGCCGAAAGAAAAGCUUCCCUGGAUAAGUUCUUUAAAAACCUUCUCAAAUUACAAUUUCUAACAACAAAGCUUUCUAGAGGUUUUUGAAAAGUUUUGAGGUGAAGGUCUUCUAAACACUUCAUCUAGAAAAUUUACAGUUGAAGGAAAGGGUGGACAGAAGCAAGAAUAGGCAUAAACUGCGAAAAGGACACUGUCACGCUGAUGUGCAUCAGUCUACAGAAUUUCCACUAAUGUUUCACUUUUGUUUCUCGUGAGUAUAGCCAACGCAGUGAAGGCCUAUAGAAGCCCAAUAUAGUUAAGUUCAACCCCAAGGCGGCCCAAACCAGAUUGAUAAUUGUAGCUUCGGUUUAUAUAAACAGGGCCUGCUCGCGUGCUUCCAGUUUGAAAUGUUCAUGUGACCUAACGUCAACUGCGCAAACAACCGAAACAACGAACGUAAGCAAGAAAUUAAGAAUCCACCGCUGUCACUUCCUGUCCGGCAGUCCUCCACCAACAACCAGCGCUCAGAUUUCAGACUUCAGAGUAGCCUGGGGCGUACGUCUGCUGCGUUAGGUUACGCAGCUCGGGACAAGCAACAAGUUGAAGCAUGUCGUGGAGUGCUCCAUCGCCAAGGAACACAGGAAUGCAGUAGGAGGUAGGCGAAAGCGCACAUGCUCUUUCCCCAGCAGGACAUGGAUAGCAUAGCUAGCUCAAUCGAUUAGAAAGGUCAAGAUGUGGAGAGUCGGAUGCACGAAUUAACUCGCAAAAAUCAAUUGCUGACUUGUGUAUUUUACCCUCAAAGUGGUCCCGUCAGCUAACCACACCAAACACUGAACUUCUGUUAGGUGAGUCCGAAUGGCACCGAGUACGUACGCACGGCACGCACAUGCUGCUCGAGUGAGUUACUGCACCAGAAGGGAACUGGCACGACGACGAGGGAGGGAGGGAUCAUCUCUGAGCUCCGACGCGGCGACGCGGUUGCUGCGUGGUCGGUCCCGGUGUAGAAGCGGGAGACGACGACGUGUUCCGGUAUUCCCCGUCCGCGGCGCUGUCUGUGCGAACGCGUGGAGCACAGGUCCCCGCCGUUGAACGGAUCCGUUUCCGCGAGAUCAACCUGACGCGCGCGAGAGAGGCACUGAACCACUGGAGCUUCUGUCAUCCCCGAUCUCUAGCGAUCCGCCCGUUCACUCUCUGUUGACAAGUUCCGGUAAAUCUGGUGCAGCUAGCGCGCGCCCUUUCCGUCAUUCUGGAGUUCCUACCGGCUAAAGGGGCACGACGAAACCUAACCUGUAUCCGACAGUACCAAACACAAACCCGGGGACCGGCUCUGCAGAGUACUCUGUUAGCAAGUGGGGCUGCGCCGGCAACGCAUUGACGCCCUUGCAGACGGUCGCCCGCCCCCCUCUGCUCCGGGCAAGCUGCGGUCCGCGCGCGGGGGGUCAAGGGAAGAGGGAUGACGACGCUCGCGAUCGGUGAGCCGCGGAUCGUGGGGCGUGUUCUAGAAUCGAUCGAGCGUGGCCGGAUCGCUCUCUCCGGUCUCGCUGGCGCUGCUGCGCUCGGCUCGUCGUUGCGAGAUUGCAGUCGCGUCUGGGGUGUCUGUCGGGAGCACGGAACGAUGCCGGAUCCAGAGUUCCACAGCUCCUGCUACUGAGCUGAAUGCCUGUGCUGCUCUGCUGCGGAUUCGUUGUGACAGCUACCCAGCGUGUGAGUGAUUGGUUCCAUCGACAUGGAGAUGGCUCUGUUUCUCCGUAUUCAUGAUUGGAGGUAUAGUUUCUUUUUUUUUUAUUUUCACGUUGCAUAUAUGUCCCUUUUGAGGUAAUAAAUUUUUGGAAAACGUACUAGUGGUACUGGUACCUAUCGGGCUGGUUAAUGCGAGACGAAAGGUUGUUUUUGCGUCGAGACUCCAGAUUCGGGGAGGAGUGCAAAGAUCUCUCGGAACAUCGGCACCCUCCCUCCCUCCCUCUCUCUCUUGAGGUGCCUGUGGAGAGGCUGUAACAUCUGGGGCUGCCGUGGCAGCAGCGGCGGAAUACGGUUGACCAAGCCUGCAGAAGCCGGCACCCGCAGCCUCUCCGUGCUCCCGUGCGUACGGCAGAACAAAAUUGUACAACGAAAAGGCUGCAAUUUCGCCGCCACCGGUCGACACAUGUAUGGAGUGCGGUGCGUGACUGCGUGCUGCGUAACAAGCUGAGCUUACCUGGAAACCAGCAGCACAAGCACAUCCGCGGUUUGAUUGUUUCAAGGAUGCUGUACGCCGCUCCGCUGCAUGCCUGCAUCUUCUGAUAUUCACGCACGCAGCAUGGCUCGAGGUGACGGAAAUGAUCUCCAAGACAAUUCUCUGUUCAAGCGUGUGAAAGUUUCAGUACAAGGAAUCAGCGCCUCAAGUUCAUACUGCUGCCUGAAAAUUGGUGAAGCUUCAGACAUUUUCGCUUACAGUUGGAUCACUCCUUUUCUUUUGUUUUUUUUUCUUUUUUGAAAAGGGCAUCUGGAUCACGCAUUGGGAUUUGUAGCUCAAUGAUGCGUCUCACCAGUGGGCAGUGGCUAGAAAAUUAGAUGCCACCGAAAGACACAGAAAAUAUAAAAAAUAAUGGUAGAUUGCAAACAAGGAAAGGUGAUUUCCCCGUGAAAUAUACCCACCUACUUCUCUACUACUAUACAUCAUACAUCGUAUGUACAAAGUCACCUAUACAAACAACCGCAUGUAUCCUUUUUUUCUUUCAAUUUCUCCGUAGCAGUAGUACUGGCCUACCACCUUCACAAACCUCAAUCCGAAAGGGAAGGCCCGCAUUUCCCCUGCUUUGUCUGACUUCACGCCCCGUUCUUUUGACUUCGCUUUAAACCCCACACCGCCGCACGUAGCACUAUGCCGGUUUGCAGGGGAUCCUCCAGGUCAAAUGGUCUUAAAUUUCAAUUCCCGAAUUCAGACUUGAAAAUCUCCCUGUUUGGAACGGGUCGCCCACGGCGGUGACGGGUCGGCGCGUCGGUGGGGGCUCAGAACGGGUGCGGGCUCCGGCUGAGCCCGUGCGCGUUGGCGAACAGCCCCAUGAGGUCCUGCCGGUACGGCAGGAACGUGCGCCGCCCGCCGGGGGUCGCCUUGGCGCCGCCGUACGACAUCCGGCGCCCCGCGGCGACCGUGUCGAGCUCGGUGGCGCCGGCGGCCUUGCUUCCUUUGGGCGGCGGUGGCUUCGGCUUGGAGCCGGCGGGGGAGUGCUCCCUGUCCCUGGCCGGGGACGACGGCGCGGAGAGGAAGAGGAACUUGUGCUUGCCGUCGCUGUGGCUGCGGCCGACGACGAGGUCCCCGAUGCGGCGCCACCGCGCGACGGAGCCCGUGGACCCGCUCUUCCGCGGCGGACGCGAGGGCGAGGACGCCGGCGACGACCCGGGCGUCCAGAGGCAGUAGCUGUCGGGCGGCGCGCCGUCGAGAUCCGCGCUACCGUCCGCCGUCGACGCCGAGGACGACGACGAGGUGGAGGAUGUGGACGCGACGGAGGAGGUCCGCGCCUGCUCCAGCUGGAACAGGCGGCCCAGCGGCGCCCUCGGCGCGGCCGGUGCGGCGGCGGCCUCGUCGUCCAGGACCCGGCCGAACACCGGGUAGAACGCGCGGAUGCGGCCGCCCGCGAAGAGCUCGUCCGCCGCCGCCGCGGCGCCCCCGCCCGCCGCCGGCUCCCGGCUCACGGAGGGGAACUCGAACUCGCCGUCGGAGUCCUCGUCGUCGGACGCCAAUGACCCGCCGUGCUCCCUGGGAACUGGAAGCUCCGCGGCCGCGGGCUCGUGGCGGCGGCCACCCGGCGGUCUGCGGUCCUCCAUGCCUCUCAUGUUCCUAUUUCCGCUGCUCGAUCUCUUCGCGACUGAUGGCGGGGUGCGCGCAAAGGGUGGGAAGCAACUGCUAGUUGGUUGGGGAGGUGGCACCGGCGUAUAUAUAGGGGGGAAGCCGGCAGCGGGAGGCGACCUUCUGGAAGGGAAGGCGAUUCGGCUCGGCCCCACGCUACACGUCACUCGUGAUGCACGCGGGGUUCGUUUCUUGCUUGGGGGUGGGGGGGGGGGGGGGGGUUGCCGUUGGUUGCGUUCCGUGUGCGUGUGCUAUGGGUUUACACAUGAUUUUGGGAAAUUCUCGAAGGGGCCCUGGGUCCGGGGGAUUUGCUUGCCGAGGGAGAUCGCGCUUGCUUGCGGGACAAGCAGCUGCUGAUCCGGCCGGCUGAAGAUACGCUAGCGCCGCGGAGCCGGCUGGGUCGAAGAAAGCCCGUGCACACGUGGGCGCUCUGUAAGCUGACGACGGAGCUGUGAUCCAGCUGCGAUGUCAGUAGCGUCCAGUGUGAACAGAAGCAGCGGGGAAAUCUCAUCCACGCACAAAUUCUUCUCGGAUUGAACUGCCUACUAGCCCGCAUGGCCGGUUGUACUUGCGCAUGGCGACACGCGCGGUCCCUUCUGCAAUCACGAACGACGGGGGAGCAAGCACAUGGAAAUUGUGAGACCGCGCCUCUGGUGUAUUCGACACGGGAGACGCCAUGUACUUGAAAUUUUUUGCCACGAGACAGCGUUUUGAGUUCGGCCAUGUGCCACCUGUGAGUGAUGCAGCACGAGCCAGACCAAUCGCCGAGACUACCGCUCGCCAUUGGCAGGGACGGCCCGGGAGGAACCGGCAACUAACCCUGCGCAGGUGUCGUCGCCUCGCGCCGCCGCGGCCAACGGUUCCUUACUUUAUUCACGCGUGUAGCGGCGCGGCGGCGGGUGCCAGGCCACGCCCCCGACGAGGUUCCGUGCGCGCAUCGCAUUGCAGGAGGCAUGAGGCGCGAGCGCGCGCGCCGCGGCCGGUGUGCCCGCCGUUCCGGCAGUCCUGGGUGGGUUCCCGCCUUCUUGGAAUCGAGGGUGGUACCCGUGCCGUGCGCCAAGUGCCCCCAACGCCGAACGUUCCCGUGCCGUGCAUGCGCGACGCGUCGGGGGGUCAUCUGAAGCUGGCCCUAGCUCCUUUCCCAGACGCCGUGAAACGUUUGGGCUCUCUCGGGCGGUCCGCCGCUGUCGCACGGUGAACUCCGACGACAAAGACGAGGAUCCCCUUGCCACGUGCUACUGGAUCACCAUCUCAUUAUCUCUGCUCCGUAGUCCGUACUGGCGGCAUGUAUCGUGCACGUGCAGCUCCUGCAACUAGCCAGUAACUCUGAGACUACGAGCGGCGAGUUUAAUUCCCUUUUCCUCUCGUUCUUUGUUUGGGAGGAUAAUCAAGGGCGAGAACCUGAUGAGUUCGCUUGUCCGGACUGUCAGUUCGCGUAAGCAUAACGAUUCCCGGUGACAGGCUUCGUUUUCCUAGUAGCGUUAGCUCCGAGCUCAACGAGUUGCAUUAAUCCGUCCCCGCGUUAGGGGAGGAGCUGUCCUCCUGCGCGUGCUUAAUAAUUGGCCUCUGUCGCCGUUACGAAGCAACCUGAUUUGUUCUCUCUCAUGAGGCUAUUAUUUCACCGACGAACUCUACUACUAAACGAGCGAAUCAUGAUAGUCGCUCAGUCGAUCUCCUGAGAGCUCAGUUCAGAAUUGACGGCGUUAAAUAAGCUUCUGAACGAAGCGAGCGCGUUCGGCGUGCUGGCAUGCUUCGGGCAUUUUGUUUCUGUUUUUUUUUUCUUAGAGCAAAUCGCCCCGUACUGUCCGGCUGCAUCGGUCGAAGUCAGAGAGGCUAGUAUAGCUGCCUUUGAGCACAAAACAAAUUCACAAUUUAAAAAGGUACUUGACAAAUCUGAGAGGAACUAGACGAAAAUGAUCAGAUGCCAAAUUUCAUGUCGUAGCAUUAUUCACCCGCUGUCUAUCUGGUUAUUAAUAGAGAGAGUAUUCGGCGUGAAGCCAUUUCGUGGCAGCAGACACGCCGCGCGCACGACACAUGUGCCAACAAAGCACUGUACGUAUCUCAUAUCAGUCGAUCCGUCAUUGACCACGCACAUACGUGCGUUACUUGGUCAGUGGUCACUUUGAUCGUGCGUCUACCGGAGGAGGAACUUGGCGGGUAAUUUCGAACCUCAUCUGCGGAUGCGAUCUGUGAUUAAUGGCGCCCGACUCUGUGGCGGAGGAGCAAGCUGGCACGGGUGGACCUUCGGGUGCCCAACUCGCAACGGAACCAGCCGCAGCCCAACAGAAACAAUUGUCCGGGCUAUCUGCGAGGAUAAACGGGGGUCACCUUUGGAUGACGAGUGAUUGACAACCGUGGCGUAUAAUGCAUGUCUUGGCUUCUGAAGUGGACGGAUCUGAGUUCCGGUUUCGAAGCCGGAAGUUACAGAUUUAGUUCCGGUUUUACUCUGACAAGUGUUGAUUUUUCAUUCCGACCUGUCGCGCUUACCUCUAUUUUGUCUCUAAAAUUUUCUAGUAUUGUUUCUAGAUCCAAUAGCAUCCCAAAUAGCUUAAAUAGCUAUGUGGGCUGGACAAUUUUAGAAAAGAGAUUUGUUAGAUGAAUUUAGGAUACAGAUCUUGUUCUAAUCGGAGAUUUUUUAUAGGCUCUCAUUCACCUCCUCUAGUCGUCCGUUGCGGUACGCGGUACUACAAUUUGCCUUGCUCUUGGAGUUCUCGAUCUUGUUAUCACGUCAGGUUCGCUGCUACUAUUCCGUACUAUUCCUGACCCUCGUCUUGCGCGCCCGUAGCGUAGGGGUACGUCACGCCGGACAAGAGGAAGCUGCGGCAACCAGCAUGCGCGCUCCAGCCACCACCGAGUAGGCACGCCUUCGCCGAUCCGUCGACGUGGUGGGUCGAAUGCUGAUGCUUCAUCUCCGGCGGCCCCGUCUGAUCUCGUCGUCGUCGGUUCCCUAGCUCGUUCCAACAUUUCCACUUUUUUCCAGCAGUCACCUAUCAAAGCUCGACGGCUUUUUUAGGCCCUUCCUCCGCUCCGCCCGUCAUGAACGCCGAGAAUAUUUGACCCUGGUUCUGGUUAGCAGACAUGGAAUGUUCUGUUCCAGGUCCAGUCCCACUACAAUUCAGUGCAUCUGCUGCUGCAGGCUGACCACUCUCUCAGAGGAAACAAUCCAAUGGUAGAAGCGGUGCUCAUUCCUCUGGUGGAAAAGAACACAUCCGUGAUAACGACAGGCACGGAUGAAAGCAGCGGGGGGAAAGGGAAGGCAUUGGCCGUAGUGCCGUGGUCGCGGUUUCUAGAACACGACUUUGUUAUCGCCUGGACUCUGCCUGCAUUCCGUGAAAGUGCUACUAGCCAUGCCCGUAUGAGUACAUGACCGAUUGGACAGUACGUUUGUUGCACAUGGACAGGCAUGGUCGUAACUCGUAGCCAUCGCGCAGUCGGAAAGGAAAAAAAAAUGGGACCGGAAUGGCUGAACACCUGAAGCCGAAUCGUCUGAAGCUGGCGGAUGAAACCUGCCAAUCUGAAGCUGGCGGACGAGACCUGAAGCUUUUUUCUGUUCUGCUGUGUUUCAGUUUUAAAACUCGCAGACUCGUUUGUUGGUUUCGAUUCCUUUGUACUGUCACUGCUUUCAGGGGGAUCAAGAGGGGGGCAGCUGUAGGCUUUUUCCCUGCUCGCAUCCUGUCUGUAAUGGGCUACACUGUGCUAAAACGUUCUUGCCUUGUUAAUGCAAUGGCGCGGGAGGGCGGGACGAGCUUCGCCUAUCUGUUCUAAAAAAGAAAAGAAAAAAAAGAACUUCCGGAUUGCCGCCAGUCUUGCACCGGAUGGCUGUGCGUGCAAGUGGCAUAUACCUACCGAUCCAGCUAAACAGGCAAGACGUACAGCCUCUUGCUCCUAUCUACUAAUCCUGACAAGGUUCCGAGUUGACCUGCAGCUGGAGGAAAAACUCUUGCAAACCAGACAAUACCCUCAUCAAGCGGGUCAACGGAGUGGAUAAGCAGGCAGGCCUUGACUAAGCGCGGGCCCCACGACGAGCCUGCCCUGGGUAGAAGAGACGUGGAGUCACACAGCCUUUCUGCUCUUGAUGAUCCUCAAUCAGCAGCUAGCUGGUGGACUGCUACUCCAAGCAACGCCCGGGCUUCCUUCUAGACGAAGACCGGACCGGCUUGGGGACCAAGCAGCAGGCAGGAAGCUUCUGACUUCUGAGGGCUGCCGGCCUCGCGUUCCUUCGCGUCGCGGCUUCUGUUUGCGGGAGCCAGCUAGGUUUGAUCGGUAGAGGAGCAAAUGUAAUACGGUUUUGCCAAAUGAACAAAGGGGACUCCAGUUUAAAGAGAGGUUUUCGUUUCUCAACAUCUAGAAUCCAACCUAUGGCAAAAAGUCGAUUACAAAACCUCCAACCAUGGCCGGCAAAGAAGUGCAUCAUUAUAGCCUCCAAACUUUAGCAGAACUAUUUUAUUUGGUGUCCUCAAAAAAUUUGCAUCAGGGAUCAAAACCGGGUUCAGUUAAAUAAACUGCAAAGGAGAAUUAAUUGGAGCUUUGUCAAAAACCAUAUCAUUACCGUCUGCUCCCUCCAUCCAAAAAUAAGUCAUCCUAAAAAUUCUAGUCAAGAAGGUAGAAUGACCAUAUUUGCCUCUAUUUAUUACCUAUAUUUAGCACUAAUUUGAUUCUUGCAUUCUUGCAUGCACAUGCACUUUCUAAUAGGGUAAGAUGACUCGUUUUUUGAUAAAUUUCGAAUCCUAGAAUUACUUAUUUUUUAGACGGAGCGAGUAGACAUUUCUUUCCGUUAAAUCCUUAGAGAUAAGAACUGCCGCAUUCCUUUAGAAUUUUCUUGAAAAAACAGGUUUGGACCAGAGCCCUGACUUUCACCCCGAAGAGUUUGAAACUUCGAUGUGCAGUCCUCACGUCCCAGACCCUCCAAGUUCACUAGUUCAGAGACCCACAGUGGUCUUACGCUUGACAAAUUUGGUAAUGGGAUAUUACAGGGUGCUGGGACGUUGAUCUGCUACUUCUAGUGAUGUGAUGGUGUCUUAAUGACGUUUUGACGUGAGAGAGAGAGAGAGAGAGAGAGAGAGAGAUUCUUUUUUUAAUAAAAAAAGGAGGGGCAACAUUCUAGACUGAUUGGCACCGUUGAAGCAAACAGGCAAAACACAUUAAUAAAAAAAAAGAGAGAACACAUGGUAUAGGAUGCUAUUAUUCUAACUGAUCCAAAGUACGACUACAACAUGUAUUAAUUAACAUACUGGAAAUUCGUGUGAUGGCAUGUUCCUUCCAUGGAAAUUUGAAAAAUAUUGAAAGCUGCAUGAGGAAUCGUUGGCAUGAGUAUCUCUAGGGUAUCUACAAGCUAAUAUGAAUAUGAUUUACCGUGCAUAUAGUGUCCUUUCUUAAAAUUCAUAAUACACCAAUUGUUCCACCAGUGACUGCGCGUACAUAAGAUCAGCGUGUGAACAUUCCAAAAUAUAUUUAGAGGGGUUCUAAAUGUAAUUUAGCAUGUGCUCUGUUCGAAAUAGGAUUACACAACUCAUGAAAAUGUCAUGGGCCAUCAUGACUGCGGCAGCCCAACUUAGCACGUACUCAGAUACUGGGUGGCCCAGGUGAUUUUCAUCUGGUUGGGCCGGGCCAGAUGCCCACAGGUCCAAACGCAUAUAGCUUGUGUAUAGUUCCUACUUCCGCUAACAUUCUGAAGUUUACGCUACCUGUAUUUUCCCUCAUUCGCCAUACAUAUGAUAACCUCAGUUUCCCACAUCUUCUGCGCCUCCUGCAUGAUCCUAAAUGUAACAUGUAUAACCUUACUCCUGACAGAGAGGUGAAGCGUUGUUUGAGCUCAGAACAGCCAAGCGGGAAGCUAGCUGACACUGACAGGUCCAACGUCUUCUCGUACGGGAUCGUGCGCCUGGAGCUCAUCACCGGCCGGAAGCCGCCCGUGGACGCGUCUCAAUUCUCAACCCCUGGGAGAAGAGAGCCUAGUAGAAUGGGCACGUCUAUCUCUACUCCAGUGCUCUCAUCUGUUAUCUUUUUCUUGAAGCUGGUAUCACGUCGCCGCAUUCUUGCGUGAGUCCGGCUUGCAGGCUCGGGUCCUUGGUACGGACGCCCUGUAGACGGACAGCUUCAGAGAGAUCGCUCGCUGACCCUGCGACUCCGAUGGAGUGCAGAUUCUCCAAGACCGAGAUGCGGAGGAUGGUGGAGGCCGGCCGCCGCCGCUCGAGCGCGCCACUCCGCCGCCAAACAGGAUACCGGAUCAACUUGGACGUGAUUCUCCGAGCAGUAUACUCUUUAAUUCGCAGGAUGCUUGAUCAACUUGGACGCAUAUUCUUCGUCUCCUAACGACGGAACGCUUCUUGCCAUCUCUGGGAUGGGGAAUUAAGGUGCGGCGGUCGCUGGACGUGGACGAGAGCUCGUCGGACCUGACCGACGCCGUGAAGCUCGCGCAGAGCACGGCGUACGACUCGGGCCGGUGCUCGGCGGACGUCGAGCUAUCUGGUUCCCGGCCGCACAAGCAGACAACAACAUCUACUUGCGUGAACCACGUGGUACAUGUCCGUCCGCGUCGGCGUACGUGUGCCCGCAGGAGGACGGGACAGCGCGGAGAAUCGCUGCGGAGGAGGAGGUGUCGCGAGGCAGGCGCAGCUUCGUUGAGAUAGCUAGCACAGUGUCGACGGUGUACGUUGCUGUUCGUGCCGGUACAUUUUUGUGCGUGGAGCCGUGCAUUCUCGUCGCUCGUAAGAAGAGAGAACCGCUUGGCCGGCAUACGGUAACCUUUGGUAUAGAUGUCCUGUGGUCUGCACGAGUGGGUGCAGGCCCGUCUUGUUGCGACGGAUGCUGCGAGCCUAUCCUGAUGACUAAUGAGCAGCAUCUGCAGCCGGUGGUUCAGCUCAUCUUCAGGUGCGAGCCGGCCGAACGCGGCGUGGCCGGACGCAGACCGAAUCGAGGGCUGUUAUGUUUUCAGGUCGAAUAGUACGCAUGGCGCAAUAUAGGACCGGGUCAAACCGAUUUGACUAUAACUAACGCUUUCCGGCUCUGAUCUGUAGUGAACUCCGAGCUGAAUACACAGCCGUGCCAUGGAUUCGUGUAGUGUCUGUUGUAAAAAAAAAUGUGGAGCACUGCACGGGAAUAGCGUGUCAGUGUCGACACAUCUCACAUGUAGCAAGCGGCAAUAAUUAUGGUGACGUGGUCUAGGCAGGGGUACAACCUUGCAUACAGUGCAGAGUGCUGGUCCAUACGCUUUGGAGCCCUACCAGAGAACAGCCCGAUCCGUGGAUCUGUGGUGUAAAAAAAAAACAUGGUGUCUUCAACAUUAUCUCUGCAGGAGUGUGUUGGAUGGUUUGGCUAACUCGGAAUGACAUGAUCUUUCGUAACCGGUGCUGGGUGGACAUCAAGAUAAUUCUGAGGAGGAUGAACAGAUGCCUUGCAUCGUGGAAGCCAAUGUUAACGGCGACCCAGGAAGAUGGUGUUAACCAAUGGUGCAAUUACUUGGAGGAGACUAUCAGGGCGCCGCUGGGAAUCGGACCCUCCUGAAGAAGUUCAAGCUGAGCACCGCGAGGAAGGAGUUCUGAAGCUGCGCUUUGCGCUCCUUGAGGCUCUUGUUAUUGUUUUUUUUUCUUUCUGAAACACUGUUUUAGCCUCUGCCUGUAAGGUGUUAAACUGUUGGUCUAGCUCUCUUCUGGCAGACCCUUGGCUUUGUUUCCCAGACCUGUAAACGCUGAAACUGUUGUUGCUUUGUUUCUAAUGGAAAUGGAGCAGGGCGUUCGGCGCCUUUUGAUUAAAAAAAAAGAGAGAGAACAGCCCGAUCCAAGUCCAGCACCGAUAGAAAUUAUGUGGCGGAGAAACAAGAGGCCGCGAAAUUGAAGGCGAGCUAGCUGGCUGGCUGCACUCGCGUCAUACUGCUCUGGUGGCGCAACCAAAAAUUUCCACAGGCUCGGCACCAUUUAAUCCGAAGAAAACGAGCGGUUAAGUGUCUCUUUGGAUUUGGAUUCGGUGACUAAAUUUUAAACUUUAGUCCCAUCACAUCAAAUGUUUGGUAUUAAUUAAAAGUAUUAAAUAUAGGCUAAUUAUAAAAAUAAUUAUAUAAGUGGAGAUUAAUUCACAAGAUAAAUCUAUUAAACCUAAUUAAUCUAUUAUUAGCACAUGUUUACUGUAGCACAACAUUGCCAAAUCAUGAUCUAAUUAGAUUUAAUGAAUUCGUCUCACGAAUUAGUCUCUAUUUAUACAAUUAGUUAAGCCUAUAUUUAAUAUUUCUAAUUAGUGUCCAAAUAUUUGAUGUGAUAGCAAUAAAAUUUAGUAUAGCGUAUCCAAACUUUCCCUAACUUUAGUCUCCUCCGCCGAAGCCCAACUAUACAUACGCAUCAUUUUAUUUGAUGGAACAGGAGGCUCUCUUUUUCUUUGCGAGGAUAACUUCAUUUGAAUACACUGCAACGAAUUCACGUUCUAUAUGCCACUUGAUCCAUACAAUCUGUCCGGGGGAGUAUCCACAGUCUUAGGUCACGGUCCUAAAAUCCGGCUAGCACAGCUUAUUUUUUUAUUUCCCUUGACACCUCAUCUGAAAGGUACAUUUGGUCGCAGGCAGAAUACAAUACUGUUGGUACAUACAGAUAGGGGUACCUCCUGCUAGGGUGUCCAGGCCCCUGGCGUCUCGUAAUCCAUAACCCCCUCCUCUCCCGCUGGGUGAUGUGGCAUGCGACCCGGACCUGACAGCUGGGGCCACGGUCUCCGGACCCUCCCCGAGCCCUGGGAAGCCCGGGGCCCCUGUGCACCAAGGAGGGCAGGACGGCUUUCGGGUUGCCCCCGUGGCCCCGGACCCCCCAGGGGGUCCGAGGCCGCUACGUGUGAUAACCGGACCAUCACGGGCCAGGCUCCCUCAACUGGACUCGAAGGGCCCGGACUCCCCUUCCCCCGGGGAGGGGUCCGGUGCCGCCACGUGCCGCUUGACAGAGGGAGCGGGACUGGCUCUACCGCGUACCUGCGGCUGGAGGCCCUUCGCGAGUCACCAGCCCACCUACCAGCAUUAAAUGCGGUAGCUGAGCCGGGCGCGCCCAAGUCAAAAGGUGCGGCCUGUCACUGACACACGGGGCAGGUAAGCUGACACCACGGUAAGCCCGCCUGAUCUGAAGGCGGCGCGUCGUAUCACCGUGCACAGUGCGCGGACUGUGUACAGUCCUGUCACGGCGCUGCACGCGUGAUGAUGGUCUGCAAUAGGCAAAGCCAAGGCGUGCGCUGUAACAGUGCACACGCACCGGGUCAGCGCUGCUUCACCGCCUGACGGGAGGUCCCGUCCUAACAGUGACAGCACGGCUUCACUGUUAUGCAACGCUGACGCCGGAUACUGUGCAAGAUAAGGCUGUACAGGGCCGUAUCCAAGUUAUGGAUACGCACAUCAACUUCCCGAUUGAGAGGACUACGGAGAGGAGCUGGAGAUGAAGAUCUCCAUAUCUCUCUUAGAACAAGUUUCUGCUGGCCGGACCCACAUGUCGGGGUCCAGCUCGGUGUAAGCUCCCCCCUUGGACUAUAAAAGGGAGGGUGUACACGUUAGAAAGGGCGGGGUUCCAACAUCCAAGGUUAGACACAAGCACAAGACCAGACUAAGUUCUACCCAAGGCUCUCACAGUCAAUACAAUACCAUAGUGGACGUAGGGUAUUACGCUCCGGCGGCCCGAACCACUCUAAAAUCCUCGUGUCCUUCCUGUGUUCAUCCGCACACCGAUCGAGCGCUCCUAAGUCUCCUCCAAACCCAUCCUUAACUAGGGUUAGACGGGUGCUUUCCGCCACCCGGCUGGAGAAUUCCUCCGACAUUUGGCGCGCCAGGUAGGGGAGCCUAGGUUUGGUUCGCGUUUGAUCAAAGUGCAAGGCCGCGAUGGCGCAGGAAAACGGUCACCAUGACCUCCUGAUUGGGGAAGAGGUGGCGUCCACGGCGCCACACGCCUCUCGCCGUCUCGCCUCCGGAGCGGCUCCGCGUGUUGCCCCACCAUGUGCGGCGGAGCGGGUCUCAGUGGCCUAAUCGGUGCCCGCACCGAGCGGGCCCCUCAUGGCAGCCAGGGAGUUGCUCCGCAACCCCCCUGGAGAGGCGGCUUCGCCAGACGCGCACACGCAAUGGCGUGACGACGUCGACCGUCUCCUCAACCUGGCACAGGCUUCCCCAGGCUCUGCGGGGGGUCUGUUUCCAGGCAGCGCCGUCGCCAGGGCGGCGCAUCCGGUUUGGUGCACUCACCGUCCGUAAGGAGUGCACGGACCGAAGACCUCCGGGCGGAUCUCAACCGCAGGCAUGCGGGAGAGGACGCCAGGGUCUCUAUCGAGCGAGCGCGCAACCGACGGCUCAAUAUUGAGGGUCGGGACCUUUCGCCCGAGCUCGAUGCGGCUGCGGCCAGGCCGCAAGGACUCCCUCAGGCACCGGUGUCGGGCGUGGUCUGCGCAGCGCUCGCAGACCACCUUCGCGCGGUCGCCUAGCCGUCCAAGUUUCGGCCCCACCUGCCGGAAAAAUAUGACGGCUCCACCAACCCGUCAGAGUUCCUGCAGGUCUACAUCACCGCCAUCACGGCGGCCGGAGGUAACGAAGCCGUCAUGGCCAGUUACUUUCAUGUAGUCUUGACCGGGCCAGCCCGGACCUGGCUCAUGAAUCUUACCCCGGGAACCAUCCAGUCCUGGGGUGAGCUCUGCGCACAGUUCACGACGAAUUUCGCCAGUGCGUACCAACAGCAUGGCGUGGAGGCCCACCUUCACGCCGUGAGGCAACAACCCGGGGAAACCCUCCGGGCCUUCAUCUCUCGCUUCACCAAGGUACGUGGAACUAUCCCACGUAUCUCCGAUGUAUCUAUCAUCACGGCCUUCCGACAGGGAGUCCGGGACGAGAAGAUGCUAGAGAAGCUGGCGACCCACCAAGUGGAAGCCGUCACCACCCUGUUCGCUCUGGCGGACAAGUGCGCCCGGGCUGCAGAAGGCCGUGCAUGGCACUCUGAAAACCCAGGCAGGCCCCGCUCAGACGAGUGGACCCAGUGGCGCUGCCCCCGGCAGCGGCAAGAAGAAGAACAAGAAGAACCGUGGCUUCGACAAGUCACGGAUUGGGGGUCCGGCCGUUGCAGCUGCGACGACCGGGGGCCAGAACUCCCGUGGCAAGCGCCCGCGACAGCAGCGCACCGACCCCGGGUCGUGCCCUGUUCAUCCGGGGGCUCGCCACAGCGCCACCGAGUGCCGCGAGAUCCAGAAGCUCGCGGAGCGCCUCAGCAAGAGGCGAGACCAAGCCUCCAAGGAAGGCUCCUCCCCUCCACGCCGGUCCGGAAAGGAGAAAGCCUCUGAUGCCGACGCGGCUGCGACUGAGAGGGAGUUGGGGUAUCAAACCCCCAACAAAGACCUCAAGGGACUUUUCCAGCAGUCCGAUUCCGAGUCCGGCGGGGACGAGCGCCGCAAGAAGCUGUACGUUAUGUACGGCGGCAGUUCGGAGCUCGUCUCCCGGCGGAACGUCAAGACCCUUCGCCGCGAGGUCCUCUCGGUGAAGCCAGGGGUGCCGAGAGCGGCGCCCCAUCAGCGGUGGAAUGGCACUACCAUCUUCUUUUGGCCAUCUGAUUGCCCAGAGAACAUGGCGGGCGCCGGAGUGCUGCCGCUCAUUACAGCACCCACCAUCGCCAAUGUUCGCCUUCACCAUGUGCUGAUCGACGGAGGCGCCGGCCUCAGCGUCAUCAGCUAUGCAGCGUUCAAGCACCUGCAGAUCCCGGAGUCCAAGCUGGCUCCAUCACGCCCAUUCUCAGAAGUGGGCCCGGAUCCCGUGUACCCGGUGGGAACCGUCACCCUACCGGUUACAUUCGGGACAGAGGACAACUUCCGUACCGAGAACGUGCAGUUCGAGGUUGCGGAAGUUAACCUCCGCUUCAACGCCAUCAUCGGCAGACCGGCUCUGUACCGGUUCAUGGUCGUUGCCCACUACGGGUACCUGGUCCUGAAGAUGCCUUCUCCGGCAGGCGUCCUCACCGUCCAGAGCGAUCGUGCCGCUGCUGUUCUGGCGGUCGAAAAGCUCCAUGCGCUGGCUACAGGGCUUGCCCCUGUAGUUGGCACCCAGGGGUCCGACCUCUCAACCUUACGUGCCAAGGUUCCGGCCAAGACACCGAGGGUCUGUCCGUCUGACACGGACAACUUUCCCGUGAAGACCAUCCAGGUCGGAGUGGAGACCUCCCAGACCACCCGCAUUGAUGUGUUCGCCUGGGAACCAUCACAAAUGCCCGGGAUUCCCAGGGAGGUAAUUGAGCAUCAUCUGAAGAUCCACCCCGACGCCAGGCCGGUCCGGCAGAAGCCACGCAAGCAGUCCAUUGAGCGGCAAAACUUCAUCCGUGAAGAGGUCCGCAAGCUGCUGCAGGCUGGCUUUAUCCAGGAGGUCUACCAUCCUGUAUGGUUGGCCAACCCAGUUGUGGUCCCAAAGGCCAACGGAAAGCUUCGGAUGUGCAUCAACUACACCAAUCUUAAUAAGACAUGUCCAAAAGACACUUAUCCACUCCCGCGUAUAGAUCAGAUUGUAGACUCCACCUCCGGAUGUGAUUUGCUGUCCUUCAUAGAUGCCUAUUCUGGUUUCCAUCAAAUCAAAAUGGCUAGAGAUGAUAGGAAGCAUACAGUUUUUGUAACAGUGGAUGGUCUUUAUUGUUAUAUAGUGAUGCCUUAUGGAUUGCUCAAUGCUCUACCCACCUUUGCUCGCGCAAUGAAUAUCACUCUAGGUGAUUUGGUUAGAGAUAUAGUAGAGGUGUAUGU